CCUACGGGAGGCAGCAGUGAGGAAUAUUGGUCAAUGGACGAGAGUCUGAACCAGCCAAGUAGCGUGAAGGAUGACUGCCCUAUGGGUUGUAAACUUCUUUUAUAUGGGAAUAAAACGUUCCACGUGUGGGAUUUUGUAUGUACCAUAUGAAUAAGGAUCGGCUAACUCCGUGCCAGCAGCCGCGGUAAUACGGAGGAUCCGAGCGUUAUCCGGAUUUAUUGGGUUUAAAGGGAUCGUAGGUGGAUUGUUAAGUCAGUUGUGAAAGUCUGCGGCUCAACCGUAAAAUUGCAGUUGAAACUGGCAGUCUUGAGUACAGUAGAGGUGGGCGGAAUUCGUGGUGUAGCGGUGAAAUGCUUAGAUAUCACGAAGAACUCCGAUUGCGAAGGCAGUUCACUGGACUGCAACUGACACUGAGGCUCGAAAGUGUGGGUAUCAAACAGGAUUAGAUACCCGAGUAGUC
rnacentral:rRNA from 1 species